UACGUAGGGGGCAAGCGUUGUCCGGAUUUAUUGGGCGUAAAGGGCUCGUAGGCGGUUUGUCGCGUCGGGAGUGAAAUCAUCUGGCUUAACUGGGUGCUUGCUUUCGAUACGGGCAGACUAGAGGUAUGCAGGGGAGAACGGAAUUCCUGGUGUAGCGGUGAAAUGCGCAGAUAUCAGGAGGAACACCGGUGGCGAAGGCGGUUCUCUGGGCAUGAUCUGACGCUGAGGAGCGAAAGUGUGGGGAGCGAACAGG
rnacentral:rRNA from 1 species